GACGAACGCUGGCGGCGUGCUUAACACAUGCAAGUCGAACGGAAAGGCCCUGCUUUUGUGGGGUGCUCGAGUGGCGAACGGGUGAGUAACACGUGAGUAACCUGCCCUUGACUUUGGGAUAACUUCAGGAAACUGGGGCUAAUACCGGAUAGGAGCUCCUGCUGCAUGGUGGGGGUUGGAAAGUUUCGGCGGUUGGGGAUGGACUCGCGGCUUAUCAGCUUGUUGGUGGGGUAGUGGCUUACCAAGGCUUUGACGGGUAGCCGGCCUGAGAGGGUGACCGGCCACAUUGGGACUGAGGGACGGACCAGACUCCUACGGGAGGCAGAAGUGGGGAGUAUUGCACAGUGGGCGGAAGCCUGAUGCAGCAACGCCGCGUGCGGGAUGACGGCCUUCGGGUUGUAAACCGAUUUCGCCGGUGACGAAGCGUGAGUGACGGUAAUGGGUAAAGAAGCACCGGCUAACUACGUG
rnacentral:rRNA from 1 species